UAUUAAAAUCCAUUAGUAAAGUGCAAAAAAGAGUAAGAUUAUCAAAUUCUCACUUGUUCCACAAAUUAAUAAUAAUACAAACAAUAAAUCACUAGUAUGUCUAGAUUAUUUAUAAACCAGCUCAUUACUUAACCGGAUUUGAAUAAUAGACGCAAGCAUUAAAGAAAUAUUGUACCAUAGAAUAAUUUAUUAACAUAUAAAUUUAAUAUCUGAAUCUUGAUGUUAAAAUUCACAGAAUUUGGUUGAUGAAUUCCGAACAAGAAGACGAGAAGUAAAAGGUGAAUGCAGAAUUAAAUGAAAGUCUGCGGAAAGUAGAAAUUAAUAAGAGAGUGAUAGAAACAGCUGUCACGAAGUCUGGUUCUGUUGGGAGCUUAUGUUUCUCAUAUCAACAUCAGCCGAGUCGGGCAAUAUAAAUGCAGCUCUCCUCUGUUGAGCAAGAGAUCCAAGACGCAAGACGUAAAACUGAGAUUACAUUUAUAACAAUAAACCCCUGGUGUACUAGCAGUUACCAGCAUAAAAUAUAAAAUUUCGCGCUUACCUCCAGGUGCUUAAGGGAUUUCCGCCUCGCAAGAGGAAGAAGAAAUAACUUCCAGGAUUGAAUUUUCUUCGAGAGACAUAAAACAUCUGGAGAACUUUCCCGAAUGAAUUUCAGUCAAACAUUUGCGCAAGUAAAACUCCCGGAAAGUUUACCAGGACAAUGAGAGAAGCUUAUAAUGUUGUAAGUACUGCCGGGUUGUUCUUGUUACAGACUCGAACAGAUGGGCAAGCCGCGAGAGUGGCAAACACUGUAAUCAACGAUGAAAACGCAAACCUCUGUCGCCUAUCAGCGAUGAGAAUACUCUUGUACUUGCUUACUAGCAAAAACUUUAUCGAAAAAGUUUUUUUUUUUUUUUUUUUUUUUAAUAAAAUUGUUGAUCAUUUGGC